rnacentral:rRNA from 1 species
CCUACGGGUGGCAGCAGUGAGGAAUAUUGGUCAAUGGACGAGAGUCUGAACCAGCCAAGUAGCGUGAAGGAUGACUGCCCUAUGGGUUGUAAACUUCUUUUAUAAAGGAAUAAAACGAGGCACGUGUGCCUUUUUGCAUGUACUUUAUGAAUAAGGAUCGGCUAACUCCGUGCCAGCAGCCGCGGUAAUACGGAGGAUCCGAGCGUUAUCCGGAUUUAUUGGGUUUAAAGGGAGCGUAGAUGGGUUGUUAAGUCAGUUGCGAAAGUUUGCGGCUCAACCGUAAAAUUGCAAUUGAUACUGGCAGUCUUGAGUACAGUUGAGGUAGGCGGAAUUCGUGGUGUAGCGGUGAAAUGCUUAGAUAUCACGAAGAACCCCGAUUGCGAAGGCAGCUUACUAAACUGUGACUGACAUUGAUGCUCGAAAGUGUGGGUAUCAAACAGGAUUAGAUACCCCGGUAGUC